GCGUGAGUGAAGAAGGCCUUAGGGUUGUAAAGCUCUUUCAGCGGGGAAGAUAAUGACGGUACCCGCAGAAGAAGCCCCGGCUAACUCCGUGCCAGCAGCCGCGGUAAGACGGAGGGGGCUAGCGUUGUUCGGAAUUACUGGGCGUAAAGCGCACGCAGGCGGCCUGUCAAGUUGGGCGUGAAAGCCCGGGGCUCAACCCCGGAAUUGCGCUCAAAACUAGCAGGCUCGAGACCGGGAGAGGAGAGCGGAAUUCCCAGUGUAGAGGUGAAAUUCGU
rnacentral:rRNA from 1 species